UCUCCACCAUUUUCUUCUCCAGAACCCGUCCCUCCUCCUGCAGUGAAGUCAGUGAGUGUGAGCACUGAGAGCUGCAGCCUGCUGUGUUCGGUGGAGAAAGCUGAAGGGACGACACUGCUGUGGUACAAAGACGAGGAAAUAGUGAACCAGAGCAGCUCCGCUCUCUCUCUGCCUCUCAGUGUACUCAAGCAGGAUUUCAACUCCUCUUACAGAUGUGUGUCUGCCAACCCUGCUGAAAAGAAGACUGCUCCAGUCAAUGUUAGCACAACCUGCAGUGGACAGAUCAGCCCAGCCAACAAUGACAAUAAACGGCAAUAUUUGGCUGCAAUUGUAAUCCCCAUCAUAUUAACUGUGAUUGUUGUACUUGCUGCCUUAAUCGUCAGGAGUUUGAACAAAAACAGGACCACAACCACACACACACAAGAUUCAGUGAGACACACAGACGUGCUGUAUACUGACAUACAGAUAUUGGGAGACAGAGGGAGUCAGGGAGCACAUUUACCAGAUUCAUCAGAACCUGCUGACCGUUCCAAUCUAACAACAGUCUAUGAUAAACUAGAGGCUCAUCGGAUGCUUGAUUCAUAUACUGAAGUGCUCCUAAUGGCAAGAAAACAACCAAUCGAAGAUGUUUCCAGUUGCAUUUAUAGUCAGAUGUUGUUGUCUGUUCCAGGCUCAGUUGUGUUUGUCUAAAGAUAGUCUACAAUGCUUUUGCUGAAAUUUAAACAAAUUUAACUUGUAGUGUUUAACAAAGAUUGUUUUCCUUUGGUCUUGUUGAAAGUUUCAGAGCUAUAGCACAUACACUAUGUCUGCAUGCUAAUUAUUGCCCCACUGAUAUAUAUAUACACCCCUACAUAUAUAGAUAUCCCAUUUUAUAUCCUAUCCUAUUUAUUUUUUUAAAGAGUCAUUUUCCUUUGCAUGAAUUCUUAGUAAUCCAUGGUUAAUUAUCCAUAGGCAUCAAAUUAGGAAAUUGGCCAACAUGGAAAGUCAAUAUGGAGGGAUAUCUGCUGAUGGUGACAGAACAACACAAAAAUGAAUGUCAGUUGUAUAGAAUGAAAGAAAAUUAUGUCUCAUCCCAUCAAAAGCACAUAAGCAGUAUACAAGAAUUCUGUUAUUGAUUUAAAAUGGCUGAAUUAAAACAAAUCAAAUUAAGAAAUGUAUGCAUGUGUGUCAUAAUUAAAUGUGUGAAUGUUUUUCAUUUAACAGGGAAGUCUGUGUUUUAGUUUAAGCCUUUCAAAUUUUCCAAAGAAAGCAGGAAGCUCGAAGAACAGACCCACAGAACACAGGAAGGGUGAGGAAAAAGAUCAGCAGCAACAGUUCAAUGACCGGAAAUUCCACAGGCGGUCUCAGCCACUUACUGAAUGUUUCAAUUCAACUAUAAACUGGAUAGUUGUUGUAGAGUUUAAGAGGUCUCAGCAGAGACACUUCCCUCCUGCCCCCUGGUGACACUCUUUGAACACUACACCCUUUCACUGCACACACACACACACACACACACACACACACACACACACACACACACAGUGCUUUCAGGUGGUUUUAUUUUGGAAAUUAUAAUACAAUAGACUAUUUUCACAGCAGUCAUUUUGACAUGAAAUAUUGGGGUAAAUACAGUUAAUACAUAUUACCAGUGAUACUAAUUAAGGUUCUGUUCCAUUUAGUGUAGCAGAGUCUUUCCAGUGAGCCAACAUGCACAGCAGCAGUAUCCUGAAUGUUGAAUGGAACAGAACCUCCAGUAGUUGUUGAGAUAUUUCACUAAGUGGAUAUUUCGACCUGAUGUGGAUCACCACAGUCAAUAUAAUUAAUCCUCUUGGGACCCUGAAUAUCCGUAGCAUUUCAUAGCAAUAAAUGUAAAUGUCCAUGUAAUAGUUAGAUGUACAGGAAAGGUCAGCAGGUCACCAAAGUCUGUGUGAUUGAUCACUGUGGACCAUGAAUGUCUGUGCAACAGUUCAUGGCACACAGUUGAUGAGAUGUUUCAGUAUGGACCAAAGUGGCUCUUUCAAAAUUAUUAUUUUUAUUGUUUCCCCCCUUCUUUCCUCAUGUUAUUGUUGUCAUUCUUAUUGCUUAUGGGGAUGAACUUCAUCAUCAUCACUGUCAUCAUUGUUACUAUAUAUAACAGUAGAAUCCAGCACUGGGU
rnacentral:lncRNA from 15 species